rnacentral:rRNA from 1 species
UUCGAGUGGCGACGGGUGAGUAACGCGUGGGUAACCUGGCCUUACACAGGGGAUAACACCUGGAACAGGUGCUAAUACCGCAUAAGCGCACAGGGCCGCAUAGGCCGGUGUAGAAAACUCCGGUGGUGUAAGAUGGACCCGCGUCUGAUUAGCUUGUUGGCGGGGUAGGGGCCCACCAAGGCGACGAUCAGUAGCCGGCCUGAGAGGGUGGACGGCCACAUUGGGACUGAGACACGGCCCAAACUCCUACGGAAGGCAGCAG